CGAUUAAGCCAUGCAAGUCGAGAGGGUUCGGCCCUCGGCGUACUGCUCAGUAACACGUGGAUAACCUGCCCUAAGGAAGGGGAUACCCCCGGGAAACUGGGUAUAAUACCCUAUAGAUUACAGAUGCUGGAAUGCCCUGUAAUCGAAAGUUCCGACGCCUUAGGAUGGAUCUGCGGCCGAUUAGGUUGUUGUCGGGGUAACGGCCCAACAAGCCAGUGAUCGGUACGGGUUGUGGGAGCAAGAGCCCGGAGUUGGAUUCUGAGACACGAAUCCAGGCCCUACGGGGCGCAGCAGGCGCGAAAACCUUACAAUGCGGGCAACCGUGAUAAGGGAACCUCGAGUGCCUGUAUAUGCAGGCUGUCCAGGUGUCUAAAACACACCUGAAGAAAGGGCCGGGCAAGACCGGUGCCAGCCGCCGCGGUAAUACCGGCGGCUCGAGUGGUGGCCACUUUUAUUGGGCUUAAAGCGUUCGUAGCUGGGUCGUUAAGUCUCUUGGGAAAUCCGGCAGCUCAACUGUCGGGCGUCUAAGAGAUACUGGCGAUCUUGGAACCGGGAGAGGUGAGGGGUACUUCGGGGGUAGGAGUGAAAUCCUGUAAUCCUCGAGGGACCACCUGUGGCGAAGGCGCCUCACCAGAACGGCUUCGACAGUGAGGGACGAAAGCUGGGGGAGCAAACCGGAUUAGAUACCCGGGUAGUCCCAGCCGUAAACGAUGUGCGUUAGGUGUAUCAACGACCACGAGUCGUUGAGGUGCCGAAGGGAAACCGUGAAACGUACCGCCUGGGAAGUACGGUCGCAAGGCUGAAACUUAAAGGAAUUGGCGGGGGAGCA
rnacentral:rRNA from 1 species